rnacentral:snRNA from 1 species
AUAGCCUCUCAGCCUUUCAGCUAAGAUCAAGUGUAAUAUUUGUUUUUAGCAGUUUAGUAUCUGAUAUAUCCUCUAUCCAAGAACAAUAUAUUAAAUGGAUUUUUGGAGCAGGGAGAUGGAACAGGAGCUUGCUCCAUCCACUCCACGCAUUGACCUGGUGCUGUAGUACCUCUGGGAAUGGUACAGCCUCU